GUCCCAGUGUGGUGUAGUGGUAAGGAGCAGGGCUCAUAACCCAAAGGUUGUUGGUUCAAAUUCCCCCUGGGGCA
rnacentral:tRNA from 1 species